rnacentral:rRNA from 1 species
UACGUAGGGGGGCAAGCGUUAUCCGGAUUUAUUGGGCGUAAAGAGCUCGUAGGUGGUUCGGUAAGUCGGAUGUGAAAUCUCCAGGCUCAACCUGGAGGGGUCAUUCGAUACUGCCGUGACUAGAGUUCGGUAGGGGAGUGUGGAAUUCCUGGUGGGGCGGUGAAAUGCGCAGAUAUCAGGAGGAACACCCGUAGCGAAGGCGGCACUCUGGGCCGAUACUGACACUGAGGAGCGAAAGCGUGGGGAGCGAACAGG